UGAUAAGAAGAGGACUUAAACCUCUGUUGAUGGGGCU
rnacentral:tRNA from 1 species